rnacentral:lncRNA from 1 species
CCUGUAGCAUGUUUCACAGGAUGGCUAAGGCUGGAAGGGACCUCUUCUGGAGGACAUCUGGUCCAGAAUGGCUUCCUCCAUACCUCCACUGUAGUUCUUCAGUGAGAUGAGCUUCUUGCUACGUCUGACUCUGCAAAGCCCCAGGAUGGCGUGGUGACAACUGGGGGCUCACGGAGAUGUCUCUGGCAGCUGUACAAGCAGCUGCACCAGAGCAAUGGGAAUACUAUGAUUUGUCUGGAAGAGGUUGGGAAAACUGAUGCCAGCCCUUGAAAAGAGGAUCUCUACUUUGUGCGUACUAGGAGUUGGCCAUCUACAACUAUAGCUAGCUACACUGAUACAGCAAAAGCAGCUUGCAGUGAGCUCUGCUGCCGAGAUAUCUGUGGCUUGUCCUCCAGGACAUCUGACUUCUAUCAGGGAAGCCAACAUUCACCCACUGCAAAUACA